CCCCUAGAUGUUCUGGGCCGCACGCGCGCUACACUGAUGCAUUCAACGAGCACCCGCUGGGCCGAGAGGUCCGGCUAAUCUUUGAACGUGCAUCGUGCUGGGGAUAGAUGAUUGCAAUUAUUCAUCUUCAACGAGGAAUUCCUAGUAAACGCAAGUCAUCAGCUUGCAUUGAUUACGUCCCUGCCCUUUGUACACACCGCCCGUCGCACCUACCGAUUGAAUGGUCCGGUGAAAUUCUCGGACGCGGACUUGCGAUGUUAAUUCGGAGCUUGACUGUGAAAGUUAAUUAAACCUUACCAUUUAGAGGAAGGUGAANUCGUANCA
rnacentral:rRNA from 1 species